UACGGAGGAUCCAAGCGUUAUCCGGAUUUAUUGGGUUUAAAGGGUGCGUAGGUGGCCUGUUAAGUCAGGGGUGAAAGACGGUAGCUUAACUAUCGCAGUGCCCUUGAUACUGAUGGGCUUGAAUGAACUAGAGGUAGGCGGAAUGUGACAAGUAGCGGUGAAAUUCAUAGAUAUGUCACAGAACACCAAUUGCGAAGGCAGCUUACUAUGGUUUUAUUGACACUGAGGCACGAAAGCGUGGGGAUCAAACAGG
rnacentral:rRNA from 1 species